AAAAGAAUGAAUUCCUUGGGGCCAUGUGUUACUGUGAAGGAAAUAAAGCUGAACAAGUCAAACAGAGGAAGAGGUGUCAAGAGGCAAGCAAGAAGCUUUCAAAUACCAGGCUAUGGUGGAGAGUGAGUGACAGCCCUUACAACUCUAAAAGGGGCAUGACGUGACUGCAGUCAUCAAGGGAUGAAUCUCUUAGGUGUAAAUGUAUUUUUAAUCUUCCCUUUUUCUAAAUGCUGAAGAUAUGUUUCUUUCUAAAGGCUGGAAGUGAACUAGAAUGCAAACAGUAGAAAACCUACAUAUAAAACAAGAACAAACAGAAAAGAUAGCCAUGGAAUGGAUUGGCAGUUUACCUCAGACUCUGCAGAACAAAAUGCUACCAAACGUUACAAAAGAAAACAACAAGAAGAAUAUCUCAUGCUGAGCUCUUACUGCCUGGAGGAACAAAACAGAACCACAACAUGCUCAGUACAAUGAAAGCCACUGGGUAUGAGCUCCAGGACUGACAGAAAUGAUGCUGUAACCUAAGUUCUACUUAAAACAAUAAACUCAGAAUUUUACCCUUACUUUUCCCCUAG
rnacentral:lncRNA from 1 species